GUAGGUGGCAAGCGUUGUCCGGAAUUAUUGGGCGUAAAGCGCGCGCAGGCGGUCCUUUAAGUCUGAUGUGAAAGCCCACGGCUCAACCGUGGAGGGUCAUUGGAAACUGGGGGACUUGAGUACAGAAGAGGAAAGCGGAAUUCCAAGUGUAGCGGUGAAAUGCGUAGAGAUUUGGAGGAACACCAGUGGCGGAGGCGGCUUUCUGGUCUGUAACUGACGCUGAGGCGCGAAAGCGUGGGGAGCAAACAGGAUUAGAUACCCUGGUAGUCCACGCCGUAAACGAUGAGUGCUAAGUGUUAGGGGGUUUCCCGCCCCCCUUAGUGCUGCAGCUAACGCAUUAAGCACUCCGCCUGGGGAGUACGGCCGCAAGGCUG
rnacentral:rRNA from 1 species